UCCCCAGUGGCUCAGAUGGUAAAGCAUCUGCCUACAAUGCAGGAGACUCAGGUUCAAUCCCUGGGUUGGGAA
rnacentral:tRNA from 1 species